rnacentral:pre_miRNA from 1 species
UUUAAGUUCAGUUGUAAUUUCUGUCCGAUGCUUGACCAUUCGUUAUAUUUGAAUUUUGUUAUGAUUAGUGUUUUUUAUUAGAUGAUAAAACAUAAAUAUUAUUUUAUGUGUGAUUUUUUUAAUUUUUUAAUUUCUUUUAAAUAAGAUGGACGGUUAAACAUACACACAGAAGCUGAUAGCUGCACUCAAA